AGCCUAUCAUGAAUUCCAUAAUUCACGUCAUCGUUGCCAUGGCGACGCUAGCGGCCUUUGCGUCGGCAUACAGGACCGGAGCACCGGUGACGCAGUGUGAUUCGAUGCAGCCGAAUCACGGCACCACCCCUCAGAGCAGCACGCCCCCGCCAUUUAACAUCGAGAUAGCGAGCGCCACCUACACGCCGGGUGGCACCGUUACAGGCUCGUUGUCCGGCGGAACGUUUCGCGGAUUCAUGAUACAAGCCCGAAUCGGUAAUUUUCGCGUGCCCGGAAAUUUCACGGCCAUAUCAGAUGGCGCGCAAUUUCUGCAUUGUGACGAUCCACUGGGCAGCGCUAUCACACAUGAUAGCGCUGCCACGAAGUCGCAAGUGAUGUUCGCCUGGAAAGCUCCGGACUUCGCAGUUGGAUCUAUACGAUUUAGGGCAACAGUAGUUCCAAUCCUAUCACGACGUACUGGAGAAACA